rnacentral:lncRNA from 1 species
UUUCACUUCUGCCAUUUGGAUUUUCCUUUAUGCAAUGUAGUAUGGGAACCAAAUUAUAACUUGGAACAAAGAUUCCCUAAAUUAUUGCAUGCAGGUAAUAUCUAUCACAUUAUAAUUUCAUCUAGAAAUUUGAGAGUUUAGACCAGGGUUUGAAAUUGAGGGUUUUAACCUUCAAUUAAACUUUCAUUACAGAGAUUGUUCAGACAAUUGAAGUUUUCGAAUGCGCAUUCGAUUGUUUUUCGACUUCAAGGGAAGAAACGGGAAUGGACUCUAUUGGAGAAGCCAUUUGAAUUUGAUAGGGAUUUCUAGGUGACCCAUAUUUGAAGAGUAAGAGAUGAAGUUUUAAACCCGUCUCUGAUUUUCUCUGCUGUUUUGGCUACUUUUUUUUUGGGUGUAAAUUUCCUAAUGUUUUUUUGUGGAUCUUCGGUUUUGGUCAUUGUGGCCUACUUUACUUUUUCC